AUACGGAGGGUGCAAGCGUUAAUCGGAAUUACUGGGCGUAAAGAGUACGUAGGCGGAUAUUUAAGUCUCAUGUGAAAGCCCUGGGCUCAACCUGGGAACUGCAUGGGAUACUGGGUAUCUAGAAUACAGUAGAGGGUAGUGGAAUUUCAGGUGUAGCGGUGAAAUGCGUAGAGAUCUGAAGGAACAUCAGUGGCGAAGGCGACUACCUGGACUGAUAUUGACGCUGAGGUGCGAAAGCGUGGGGAGCAAACGGGAUUAGAAACCCUAGUAGUCC
rnacentral:rRNA from 1 species